GAUGAACGCUGGCGGCGUGCCUAAUACAUGCAAGUCGAGCGAACAGACGAGGAGCUUGCUCCUCUGACGUUAGCGGCGGACGGGUGAGUAACACGUGGAUAACCUACCUAUAAGACUGGGAUAACUUCGGGAAACCGGAGCUAAUACCGGAUAAUAUAUUGAACCGCAUGGUUCAAUAGUGAAAGACGGUUUUGCUGUCACUUAUAGACGGAUCCGCGCCGCAUUAGCUAGUUGGUAAGGUAACGGCUUACCAAGGCAACGAUGCGUAGCCGACCUGAUAGGGUGAUCGGCCACACUGGAACUGAGACACGGUCCAGACUCCUACGGGAGGCAGCAGUAGGGAAUCUUCCGCAAUGGGCGAAAGCCUGACGGAGCAACGCCGCGUGAGUGAUGAAGGUCUUCGGCUCGUAAAACUCUGUUAUUGGGGAAGAACAAAUGUGUAAGUAACUAUGCACGUCUUGACGGUACCUAAUCAGAAAGCCACGGCUAACUACGUG
rnacentral:rRNA from 1 species